rnacentral:rRNA from 1 species
UACGUAGGGUGCGAGCGUUGUCCGGAAUUAUUGGGCGUAAAGAGCGUGUAGGCGGUUCGGUAAGUCUGCUGUGAAAGUCCAGGGCUCAACCCUGGAAUGCCAGUGGAAACUGCCGAGCUAGAGUCCGGAAGAGGCGAGUGGAAUUCCUGGUGUAGCGGUGAAAUGCGCAGAUAUCAGGAGGAACACCAAUGGCGAAAGCAGCUCGCUGGGACGGUACUGACGCUGAGACGCGAAAGCGUGGGGAGCAAACAGG